GGGCGUGUGGCUCAGUUGGUAGAGCGUUCGCUUAGCAUACUACAAAACACUCCGACAUGAGUCAAUUCUGUAUGCGAAAGGUCCUGGGUUCGAUUCCCAGCUCGUCCA